CCCUUAGAUGUUCUGGGCUGCACGCGCGCGACAAUGACGUUUGCAACGAGAUUGCGAGGCCGUCAGGUCGAGCUGAUCUUGCAAGCUGCGUCGUGAUAGGGACAGUCGAUUGCAAUUAUUCGACUCGAACGAGGAAUUCCUUGUAAUCGCGCAUCAUCAGUGCGCGCUGAAUACGUCCCUGCCCUUUGUACACACCGCCCGUCGCUCCUGCCGAUUGAGUGAUCCGGUGAAUGUUUUGGAUCGGCUUCAAGUUGGUUCGCGCCUCUUGCUUGCUGUGAAAUCAUGUAAACCUUAUUGCUUAGAGGAAGGAGAAGUCGUAACA
rnacentral:rRNA from 1 species